AUGAACUCCAAACUGAGGAAGAUAGAUCUCGAAGAAAUCAUGUGGUCAAAGGUUACUGUUUUGACAAACCAAGCUGUAGAAAACAUGUUCAAAAUUCAAUUUGCAUGUCUUGUAAUAAAAGCCAGCUUAUCUAAUUUAUCUAUCUGGAACUGUUCUAUGCUCUUGUGUGUGUCGUAUCAGUCAGUUUCAUGUGUGUACUUCAUAAGAUCUGAGAAAACGUAUCAAGGUGCAACCAAUCUAAGAAAACGAAACAAAUCCAUUAAGAAAAGAGGAUUAGCAAAC